AUUGAACGCUGGCGGCAGGCCUAACACAUGCAAGUCGAACGGUAACAGGAAGAAGCUUGCUUCUUUGCUGACGAGUGGCGGACGGGUGAGUAAUGUCUGGGAAACUGCCUGAUGGAGGGGGAUAACUACUGGAAACGGUAGCUAAUACCGCAUAACGUCGCAAGACCAAAGAGGGGGACCUUCGGGCCUCUUGCCAUCGGAUGUGCCCAGAUGGGAUUAGCUAGUAGGUGGGGUAACGGCUCACCUAGGCGACGAUCCCUAGCUGGUCUGAGAGGAUGACCAGCCACACUGGAACUGAGACACGGACCAGACUCCUACGGGAGGCAGCAGUGGGGAAUAUUGCACAAUGGGCGCAAGCCUGAUGCAGCCAUGCCGCGUGUAUGAAGAAGGCCUUCGGGUUGUAAAGUACUUUCAGCGGGGAGGAAGGGAGUAAAGUUAAUACCUUUACUCAUUGACGUUACCCGCAGAAGAAGCACCGGCUAACUCCGUG
rnacentral:rRNA from 1 species